AGGACGAACGCUGGCGGCGUGCUUAACACAUGCAAGUCGAACGGUGAAGGGGAGCUUGCUCCCCGGAUCAGUGGCGAACGGGUGAGUAACACGUGGGCAACCUGCCCCAGACUUCGGGAUAACGCUUCGAAAGAGGUGCUAAUACCGGAUACGAACUCCUUGGGCAUCCCGGGAGUUGGAAAGUUUUUCGGUCUGGGAUGGGCCCGCGGCCUAUCAGCUUGUUGGUGAGGUAACGGCUCACCAAGGCGACGACGGGUAGUCGGCCUGAGAGGGCGACCGGCCACACUGGGACUGAGACACGGCCCAGACUCCUACGGGAGGCAGCAGUGGGGAAUAUUGCGCAAUGGGCGAAAGCCUGACGCAGCAACGCCGCGUGAGGGAUGACGGCCUUCGGGUUGUAAACCUCUUUCAGCAGGGAAGAAGCGAAAGUGACGGUACCUGCAGAAGAAGCACCGGCUAACUACGUG
rnacentral:rRNA from 1 species